ACUUACAGCCACACCACCUACAGAACACCCGAUCUGGUUUGAUCUUGGAAGCUUAGCAGGGUUGGGCCUGGUUAGUAUUUGGAUGGGAGACUGCCUGGGAAUAACAGGAGCUGUAAGUU
ensembl:rRNA 5S_rRNA 5S ribosomal RNA